CGUCCAGACUCCUACGGGAGGCAGCAGUAGGGAAUCUUUCACAAUGGGCGAAAGCCUGAUGGAGCAACGCCGCGUGCAGGACGACGGCUCUACGAGUUGUAAACUGCUUUUGUACCGGGGUAAAAUGCCUUACGAGUAGGGUUUUGAAAGUACGGUACGAAUAAGGAUCGGCUAACUCCGUGCCAGCAGCCGCGGUAAUACGGAGGAUCCGAGCGUUAUCCGGAUUCAUUGGGUUUAAAGGGUGCGUAGGUUGUUUUAUAAGUUAGCGGUGAAAUACCGAUGCUCAACAUCGGGGCUGCCGCUAAUACUGUAGGACUAGAGAUCGGAUGCAGCAGGCGGAAUGUGUAGUGUAGCGGUGAAAUGCAUAGAUAUUACACAGAACACCGAUUGCGAAGGCAGCUUGCUAGGCCGGAUCUGACACUGAUGCACGAAAGCGUGGGGAUCGAACAGGAUUAGAUACCCGAGUAAG
rnacentral:rRNA from 1 species